rnacentral:pre_miRNA from 1 species
GCAAAUCUGGAAACUACCGUUUGGAUCCAAAAAUAGAUGUCUGAGAUUUGUCCAUGUAAUCUGCGAGUAAAAUUUUACUCAUAUUGAGCUCAGUAACAUAUUUGCUUGGUGACGUGACAAAUUCCAGAUAUUAAUUUUUUUAUCCAGCGGUAGUUUUCAUAUUUGU